rnacentral:rRNA from 1 species
GGAAUCUUCCACAAUGGACGAAAGUCUGAUGGAGCAACGCCGCGUGAGUGAAGAAGGUUUUCGGAUCGUAAAACUCUGUUGUUGGAGAAGAACGUGCGUGAGAGUAACUGUUCACGCAGUGACGGUAUCUAACCAGAAAGCCACGGCUAACUACGUGCCAGCAGCCGCGGUAAUACGUAGGUGGCAAGCGUUAUCCGGAUUCAUUGGGCGUAAAGCGAGCGCAGGCGGUUUUUUAAGUCUGAUGUGAACGCCUUCGGCUUAACCGAAGAAGUGCAUCGGAAACUGGGAAACUUGAGUGCAGAAGAGGACAGUGGAACUCCAUGUGUAGCGGUGAAAUGCGUAGAUAUAUGGAAGAACACCAGUGGCGAAGGCGGCUGUCUGGUCUGUAACUGACGCUGAGGCUCGAAAGCAUGGGUAGCGAACA